AAGUCGUAACAAGGUUUCCGUAGGUGAACCUGCGGAAGGAUCAUUAACACUUUUUCCAAAAAACUCCUGUUUCUUUUGGCUCGAACCAAAGAUUUAGGUUUUAACCCCAAUUUAUUGCGAACGAUGAUUUUCCAAAAUCAUUUUUCUCUUCUUUAUCCUCUUUUUAUUUUUACCCCAAUUUUUACAAAAUCAAAGCCUGAUAUAAAAUCGUUUCUCUUUUGAAAAAAAAAAGAGGUAACGACCGAAACCUAAUGGUUAAAACAACUCUUAGCAACGGAUAUCUUGGCUCUC
rnacentral:misc_RNA from 1 species